GCGAGCUGGGUGGACAGCGGCGUUCGGGGACUCUAAGGACGCGGUGGCUUAGCGCUGGGAGGUGGAGCCGGCGUGCUUUGAGGGUUUUUUUGCUGUGUUUGAAUAGUUUGAAUGAUAAUACAUCAGAAUGAACAGGAAUCAGAAAGGAAUAACUUUGAAUGAGCCUACAUUAUCUUUAAGAUCACUCAUUCUGAGGAAGAAAGCUCCCAUGUCAGGAAGACAAUCAUGCAGUUUUGCAGAGAUCCACGUAGUGAGGAACUGAGGUGUCCUGCAACUUGCAAGCCGUAAAAAAAAAAGUCACUGAAUAUCUUGGCACGUGAUUCACAGCUGGGACUUACUAUCCUCUUCAAAAUUUUUUCCUCUUUCCCAGUAAAGCCCUGAAUGAGUGAACAUAUUAGAAUGUAAGAACUACUGUAAUUUUGUUUGUCUUUAAAAUGUAUUUGGGGUAAUGUUGUUCCAGUCUGAUCUAAGAAGAAAAAUAAAAUUAUAGUUGAAGUAUUGCAUUUCUGGCAAAUGUAAUUUCUGGCAAAUUUAUGUUGCCUAUAGCUCUUGUCUCAUAAAUUCAACAAAAUUCAUUUCGAUUAAGU
rnacentral:lncRNA from 1 species